UNCGCAUUCGCGUGUGGUGGUUCUUGCCUUGUGUGUCAACGCCAGUUCGCGAUCGAGGAAAACUCCAUGGACAUGGUAGCCUGGCUCCGGUUGGGUGAAUGUGCUUGGCAGAACUCAUUCGCGUACUGAUUCCUUCGUGUCUGGUUGCAGCGCUGCUUGCUCUUGUGUUGGCGCUUGGGUGUGGGAGCUCGCUCCCUACACCCUGCCCAUCUAAGGUGCACGGCGCUUCCCUGACACAUAGACAAUGACUAAAUGGUUUUAUUCGACCCGUCUUGAAA
rnacentral:rRNA from 1 species